UACGUAGGGGGCUAGCGUUGUCCGGAUUUAUUGGGCGUAAAGAGCGUGUAGGCGGCCAGGUAGGUCUGGUGUGAAAACUCGAGGCUUAACCUCGAGAUGUCAUCGGAAACCAUCUGGCUAGAGUCCGGAAGAGGAGAGUGGAAUUCCUGGUGUAGCGGUGAAAUGCGCAGAUAUCAGGAAGAACACCGGAGGCGAAGGCGGCUUGCUGGGCUUUGUCUGACGCUGAGGCGCGAAAGCGUGGGGAGCGAACAGG
rnacentral:rRNA from 1 species